rnacentral:rRNA from 1 species
UACGGAGGGUGCGAGCGUUGUCCGGAAUCACUGGGCGUAAAGGGCGCGUAGGCGGCUCGUGAAGUCAGUGGUGAAAGCCCCAGGGCUCAACUCUGGGUCGGCCACUGAUACUCGCGAGCUCGAGUUGGUAGAGGCAGAUGGAAUUCCGGGUGUAGCGGUGGAAUGGCGUAGAGAUCCGGAAGACACCGGUGGCGAAGGCGGUCUG